rnacentral:rRNA from 1 species
CCUCCAGACUCCUACGGGAGGCAGCAGUGAGGAAUAUUGGUCAAUGGGCGGGAGCCUGAACCAGCCAAGUCGCGUGAGGGAAGACGGUCCUACGGAUUGUAAACCUCUUUUGCCGGGGAGCAACGGGGUCCUUGCGAGGGCCCGAUGAGAGUACCCGGAGAAAAAGCAUCGGCUAACUCCGUGCCAGCAGCCGCGGUAAUACGGAGGAUGCGAGCGUUAUCCGGAUUUAUUGGGUUUAAAGGGUGCGUAGGCGGGCUGUUAAGCCAGCGGUAAAAUGUCGGGGCUCAACCCCGGCCUGCCGUUGAAACUAGCGGCCUCGAGUGGGCGAGAAGUAUGCGGAAUGCGUGGUGUAGCGGUGAAAUGCAUAGAUAUCACGCAGAACUCCGAUUGCGAAGGCAGCAUACCGGCGCCCGACUGACGCUGAGGCACGAAAGCGUGGGUAUCGAACAGGAUUAGAUACCCUGGUAC